ACGGGACCCCGCACAAGCGGUGGAUCAUGUUGUUUAAUUCGACGAUACGCGAAGAACCUUACCUGGCCUUGACAUCCCGGGAAUUUCCUGGAAACAGGAGAGUGCUUUCAUUAGAGAGAACCUGGAGACAGGUGCUGCAUGGCUGUCGUCAGCUCGUGUCGUGAGAUGUUGGGUUAAGUCCCGCAACGAGCGCAACCCUUGCCUUUAGUUGCCAGCAGUUCGGCUGGGCACUCUAAAGGGACUGCCGGUGUCAAACCGGAGGAAGGUGGGGAUGACGUCAAGUCCUCAUGGCCUUUAUGGCCAGGGCUACACACGUACUACAAUGGCCGGUACAAAGGGCAGCGACAUUGCGAGAUGGAGCGAAUCCCGAAAAGCCGGUCUCAGUCCGGAUUGGAGUCUGCAACUCGACUCCAUGAAGUUGGAAUCGCUAGUAAUCGUGGAUCAGCAUGCCACGGUCGAAUACGUUCCCGGGCCUU
rnacentral:rRNA from 1 species